rnacentral:snRNA from 1 species
GGAUGUGAGGGCGAUCUGGCUGCGACAUCUGUCACCCCAUUGAUCGCCAGGGUUGAUUCGGCUGAUCUGGCUGGCUAGGCGGGUGUCCCCUUCCUCCCUCACCGCUCCAUGUGCGUCCCUCCCGAAGCUGCGCGCUCGGUCGAAGAGGACGGCCUUCCCCAAACAGAGUCCUUGGCCUUGGUCAUGUGCGUG